CAGCCAUCAACAGUGAAACAGAAUAUCAACUCUUCUUUUUCUCUCCUGUGCUCAGCUGAUGACUUCCACAUGGCUCACUAGAUUCACAUGGCUCUCCUAUGCUCAGCCCAUGACUUCCACAUGGCUCACUAGAUUCCCAGAAACAUGAUUUCCCUAGAAGUUAAUUCUCACCUGCAGGCAAGAACUUUGCUGGUUGAAGCAGGAAACUAACAGACACAGAGGGACUUUAAUCAUCAGGAGUGGCAAUGGGAGUGACUGAAUCAAGAUCUCAGAACACUCAUUCACUGAGCCUGAAUGUAAAGCUUGGGAAUGUCUUCUGUGUGAGAAUAUUUUCUCCAAUUACUUCUCUACUAUCUCAGACAUAGAAGUAAUCAGUUCCAGUUGCUUCAGAUGCCGGCUCCCUUUCUGCCAUGGAAGAAUACAGUGGUUUAGAAGAGUCUUCUUGGGUCCUGAAACAAGCUCCAAAACUUCCUAAUUCUAUGACGUUGAAUAAGACCUUUAACAUUCUGUGCCUCACUUUCUUCAUUUGUAAAAUGUGUACAUAAACAUUACCUCUCUCAUGUAAAGUUUAGACGAGAGUGUAAAAUGCUUAGAAUGGUACAUGGUUUGUAGAAGGAUUAUGUAAGUAUUUGUCAUUAUUGUUGCUUUUAUUAAUGCAAUUACAAUGAGAAAAAACACACGAACGUUGUGGGGGUGACACAACAUGUAAUAUAAGAAGCUCUUCCCUAGAGGGGGAGACAGAAGGAAUUUGAGUUGAAUACAAAGGAAGCGACAUAGGAAAUGACUCAGGGUUAAUUGGUUAUGGUAUCAGAUGAUUCUUUCUCCCAGUUGUGUGUUUGUGACCAGAGUAAAUCCAAGUUUUUAUCAUUAAAUUUUUCUAACUUAUUGCAUUUGUGGGUAUCACUUCCUGGAG
rnacentral:lncRNA from 1 species